rnacentral:rRNA from 1 species
GAGGAAGGUGGGGAUGACGUCAAAUCAUCAUGCCCCUUAUGCUUAGGGCUACACACGUGCUACAAUGGGUAGUACAGAGGGUUGCCAAGCCGUAAGGCGGAGCUAAUCCCUUAAAGCUACUCUCAGUUCGGAUUGUAGGCUGAAACUCGCCUACAUGAAGCUGGAGUUACUAGUAAUCGCAGAUCAGAAUGCUGCGGUGAAUGCGUUCCCGGGUCUUGUACACACCGCCCGUCACACCACGGGAGUUGGAGACGCCCGAAGCCGAUU